GGCCGACUAGCUCGGUUGGUUAGAGCGUCGUGCUAAUACAAUUGUAUAAACGCGAAGGUCUUGGGUUCGAUCCCCACGUUGGCCA